AUACGUAGGUGGCAAGCGUUGUCCGGAUUUACUGGGUGUAAAGGGCGUGUAGGCGGAGAUGCAAGUCAGGAGUGAAAUCUAGGGGCUCAACCCCUAAACUGCUUUUGAAACUGUAUCCCUUGAGUAUCGGAGAGGCAGGCGGCAUUCCUAGUGUAGCGGUGAAAUGCGUAGAUAUUAGGAGGAACACCAGUGGCGAAGGCGGCCUGCUGGACGACAACUGACGCUGAGGCGCGAAAGCGUGGGGAGCAAACAGGAUUAGAGACCCUGGUAGUCCACGCUGUAAACGAUGAAUACUAGGUGUGGGGGGACUGACCCCAUCCGUGCCGCAGUUAACACAAUAAGUAUUCCACCUGGGGAGUACGAUCGCAAGAUUGAAACUCAAAGGAAUUGACGGGU
rnacentral:rRNA from 1 species